rnacentral:rRNA from 1 species
AUUGAACGCUGGCGGCAGGCCUAACACAUGCAAGUCGAACGAGUGGCGGACGGGUGAGUAAUGCUUGGGAAUCUGGCUUAUGGAGGGGGAUAACGACGGGAAACUGUCGCUAAUACCGCGUACCACAGGAUGAGCCCAAGUGGGAUUAGGUAGUCGGUGGGGUAAAGGCCUACCAAGCCGACGAUCUCUAGCUGGUCUGCGAGGGUGACCAGCAACACUGGGACUGGGACACGGCCCGGACUCCUACGGGAGGAAGCAGUGGGGAAUAUUGCGCAAGGGGGGCAAGCAUGACGCAGCAAUGCCGCGUGAAUGAAGAAGGCCUUCGGGUUGUAAAGUACUUUCGGUGGGGAGGCGUUAACCACAGAAGAAGCACCGGCUAACUCCGUGCCAGCAGCCGCGGUAAUUC